rnacentral:rRNA from 1 species
CAGUAGCCGCGGGAAUACGUAGGUGGCAAGCGUUGUCCGGAAUUAUUGGGCGUAAAGGACUCGCAGGCGGUUUCUUAAGUCUGAUGUGAAAGCCCCCGGCUCAACCGGGGAGGGUCAUUGGAAACUGGGAAACUUGAGUGCAGAAGAGGAGAGUGGAAUUCCACGUGUAGCGGUGAAAUGCGUUGAGAUGUGGAGGAACACCAGUGGCGAAGGCGACUCUCUGGUCUGUAACUGACGCUGAGGAGCGAAAGCGUGGGGAGCGAACAGGAUUAGAUACCCCCGUAGUCCCUGUCUCUUAUAA